rnacentral:rRNA from 1 species
AUUGAACGCUGGCGGCAGGCUUAACACAUGCAAGUCGAGCGAGCGGCGGACGGGUGAGUAAUGUAUGGGAAACUGCCUGAUGGAGGGGGAUAACUACUGGAAACGGUAGCUAAUACCGCAUACUAUCCGAUGUGCCCCGAUGGGAUUAGCUAGUAGGUGGGGUAAUGGCUCACCUAGGCGACGAUCCCUAGCUGGUCUGAGAGGAUGACCAGCCACAAUGGAACUGAGACACGGCCCAGACGCCUACGGGAGGCAGCAGUGGGGAAUAUUGCACAAUGGGCGCAAGCCUGAUGCAGCCAUGCCGCGUGUGUGAAGAAGGCCUUAGGGUUGUAAAGCACUUUCAGCGAGGAGGCGUUACUCGCAGAAGAAGCACCGGCUAACUCCGUGCCAGCAGCCGCGGUAAUUC